rnacentral:lncRNA from 1 species
UUGUUGAUGAUGUAGUAGAUGAUGAUGAUAUGGUCAUCAUGGAUGUUGAUGAUGUUGUUGAUGAUGAUGAUGAUGUGUUCGUUAUGCUCAUGAGGUUGGUGUUCAUAAUUUCUUUGUUUGAUGAAGAUUCAAAUUCUUGAUGAAGAGAAUUCAUCAUUAAUUAUUAGGUAUUUUUUUCUAGAUUGGAUCUUUAGUGCACUUUUUGUGAAAAUAAAUAAUAGGGUUUGAUUUUAUUUUUAAGCUUAUAAUAGUGGAAAUUAGAAGAGAAAAAAAAAGUGAUCUAAGAAAAAAAAGAGAAAAAAACUAUCUUUCAAGAGAUUUAAUUUUGAGAGAGUGAGAGACAAAUAUAUGAACGGUGGUUUUGAAGAUCAGUGAAGGAAGAUGAUGAUAAUGUUAUAGGUGAAAGAAAGAGAGAGGGGUGUAGUAAGGUAGGGUAAAUGAAUAGUUGAAAACUAUAAGAUGUUUUCUUACACGAGGUUUCUAAGAAUUCCUUUGUUUUUGUUUUUUUUAUUUAAAAAUAAUUAGGAUGCGACUCAUCUUUGAUCUCCUUUUUAAUAUUUUUCAACGUACUUUAAUUCAUGAUCAACUGAACUAUAUGAAAUUCUAUUUAUUUUAUGAUAAAAUUUAGAUUUUUUUGGAAAAUUAGUUUAAGUUAUGUAUAAUUAAUUAAAAGUAAUCACUUCUAUUCUAUCAAUUAUAUAUUAAAUAUAUUCUUAAGUCAUAAUUUAAAUAACAAAUGUCUUUAUAUUUAAGUUAAACAUAGUGUCUUAAAUUCGAAUUCAUAAAUUCCUAAUUAUAAAUUUAUAAUGAUAUUUAUAUAUAUUUUUUAAAUUAGUGAAAUAAAUGUAUUUGAUUUUAAUUGGUUGUAAAUAAUUAGUGAGUUAUUUAUUUUUUAUGUGAAAAGAUAUUUAGGAAUAUGGCAGAUUUUAUUACCGAAAAAAGGGAAGCAAGUGAGUUUGUAUGGCUCAAUCUGAGUGGUUGAUCAAAUAGAGAAAAGGGAAGAGUGUAAAUUGUGAAAAGAAAGAAACAUUAUUUUGGACUUUAGGGCUUUUGUGGAAAUAAAAAUAGGUUGAUAGUGACACUGAAACAUGACUGAUGCAGACAGUAUAAAGCAUUUGGGUAAAAAAAAAUAUAUAUGAAGGAAUAACAUGAUUUUGCUGCUUCUCUCUUUUCUCUUUGAUUGACAACACCUUUAGUGAAACUACCUUUUUGCCCUUCCCUGUCUCAUAUGACUAACUUUACCUUUUUAUAAGAAUGGAAGAUGAUGAUCAAUAAUCAUGCACAGUAUUAGCAAGUUGUCAAAUGCCGUGUAUAGUUUUAGUGUAAUAUUUAUGUAUAGUUUUUGUCUUCUAUAUGUAUCUUUUAAUUAAAUAAUAAGAGUAGUUAAUUUGCGAUUAAAAAUUAGACCAACUUUCUUAAAUUCAUAUAAUUUUGGUUUUUGUAUGUUAUUUAUUUAAUUAUUUAUAUAUUUUUAUUAAAAAUUAUUUCGUUAUUGAAAAAUAGGUUUUAAUUACUAGAAUAUAUAUAUAUAUUAAAUAUUAAAUGAGAGAGUUAAAUUUUGACCACUACAACAUUUUUAUUUUUUAACAUCAUUCGAAAAUGUUACCAAAACAUGAAAACAUGUUGUCAAACGGAAUUGACAACAUUUUUCUCGCAUACUAUUUAUAAAUGUUGACUAAACUAUGGAAAUAAGAAAAGAUUUUUCAACGCGCUUUAGACAAUAUUUUUUUAAUUGUUGUCAUAUCAGACAACAAUUGAUAAAUGUUGCUUAAAGCAAUACAAUGAGAACAUUUAUAAAAUAUUGCUAGAGUUUAUAAGCAAUAAUUUUAAACUGUAUUCAUAUAUGUAAAAUGAAUUUUAAUUUUUCUAUUAUUUUAAUACAAAUCAAAAAUUACAUAUUUUGUCAUUAUUUUAUAAUAAUAAAUUAUUGUGGAUAUAAUCAAUUUAAUUACAUACACAAAUUGAACUAAGGAAAACAUUAUGCAAAUUUAACACAAAUUAUUAACAAAGUUGUAUUCAAAUAAAUGGUAAUAAACAAAUUGUCUAAGAUUAGUAACAUAUAUAGUAAACAAAUAAAUGGUAGUAUUCAAAUAAAGUUUAAUACUUAAAAAAUACUAAAACAAACAUACAUUUUUUCUUACACGUACAUGUAUUCAUAUCAUUUUUGGUAUGCAAUUAAUUAAACUAACAUCAUAGCCAAAUAUGUUUGUGUAGGGUUUUAAAUAAUGGUCUGCAGCUGCCAUCUAGGUCAUAUGGCAUUAUAGUUUUUUAAUGUCACUGUAACUGUAGUUUUAUUGUGAUUGAGGCCGCAUCGGUGCGUCGCACUGGACCUACAAUUCUCUACAAUGUCAAAAAUUACGAUUGCGGUUAAUUAUUACCGUAAUCUCUAUUUAAACUCUUGUGUGUACUAGUACUAAAUAUAAAAAAAUUGUAUAUUUUACAAAUUAAACAUAAAUAGCUAAGCUUAAAUUAUUUGUUAUAAGAAAAUUUUAGCUGUUAUUUGUGAGAUUAAUAAUAUGGUUUGAAUCUUGAUCAAUCUUCUUUUUAAACCUUUGCGGUGUAUAAUUUAACAUGUUUUUGAGUACUUUAUUUCAUUGACUAUAUAGUUUUGUAGUUGAAUUCCUAUUAUCACAUUCUACUAAUAUAUAUUGUUUUAUAAACAAAACAAUAAUGGACUCAAGAGAAUUUAGAGGAUUAAUAUUAUAUUUUAAUAUAUAUUUAAUAUUUAAAAAAAAUUAAAGAACAAUAAGAUUUUUUAAAUCAUAUAAUAUUUAAAUCACACUUAUUUAAUUCUUAGAAUCAUUUUAUAGCUUUCAAAAAAGAAAAACAAGCUCUCCCUUGAUCCCUUCCCUAAUGCUUAAAAGAAAUUUUAUUUCAUUCUUAUAAUUAUAAAUUUAAUUUUGGUUCAUGACACACACAUAAAAUAAUAUAUAACUCGAGUAAAUUAAUUGAAUUGUGCAUGUAUUAAUUAUAUGAUGCAUGGUUUUAAAUAAUGGUUGCAGUCGCAAUUACGUUGCAACCCUUUAUAUUGUGAAAAAUGCGGACAGAUGUGACCGCAAUUGCGCUGCGAUUCUGUUGCGGAGACUUCAAAUUCCACAAUAUUCCAGUCGCAAUUGUAGUUGUAGGCCGCAAUUUAAAAUUAUGAUAUGGUGUAACUUACACUAGGGAUGAUCAGUUGUAGUUGCAUUUGAUUCCGGUGGUGGCAGCGGCGGCUGAGGCGGACGCUUCCGCUUCUUUUUCUCAUAACUAAUACCUCUAGCUUUAGCUUGUGAAUCUCUGACUUCACGAAGGUAAAGUCUAACAGCACGAGCACCAAAAGGAUUAGCUUCAGGUUUCCCACCAUUCUCUUCAAAAGCAGCCCUAAGUCUCCCAAUGAGUGCAUCAAGACUCCCCCACGCUUGGCGAAGAGGACAAGGACAAGGUGCAGGUGGAUUAGGGUGUCCAUAGAAAGGACAAAUUUGUGUGUGAACUUUUGUUUUACCAAAUUGGUCAAGAUACCUUAAGAAUUCAAGGACAUGAGCUCCACUACAACGUGAGAGUGAGAGUGGUGGUCUAUGGUUUCUUAGGUAUUGUCCAAAAGUGUUCCAAUCUCUUCUCUUUUGAUUCUCAUAUCUACUUGGUGUUGUUGAUGUUGAAGGUGGUGAUGUUGUUGAUGAUGUAGUAGAUGAUGAUGAUAUGGUCAUCAUGGAUGUUGAUGAUGUUGUUGAUGAUGAUGAUGAUGUGUUCGUUAUGCUCAUGAGGUUGGUGUUCAUAAUUUCUUUGUUUGAUGAAGAUUCAAAUUCUUGAUGAAGAGAAUUCAUCAUUAAUUAUUAGGUAUUUUUUUCUAGAUUGGAUCUUUAGUGCACUUUUUGUGAAAAUAAAUAAUAGGGUUUGAUUUUAU